rnacentral:misc_RNA from 1 species
CUCGAUGAGUAGUCUUGAAAGCAUAGAGUUCCAGGUCAUCAGCAAACUGCAACAAGACCUCACGGGCAAUAGAGAGAACCUGUUCACCCCAUGGGACGCCUUGCAACACGACUCCACCGCCAUCCCCACCAUCACCAGCUUGAGGCUCUACUUCCUCCUCUUCUUCCCAUCCAUCUGUUUCUCCCUCUUCAGUUGUUUCAUAUUGAAGUGGGUUUUCUUUGGUGCCAUUCUCUUGAUCAUUACUCUGGGUAGAGCUGGUGUUCAAGAGCCGAGAAGAGAAAGACGGAUAAUGGUAUACAGCAGAGAAGGGUGCUUCUCGAGAGAAACUACGCAAACGAGAAGGAGAAUGAUAAUGAGGAUUCUGAAAUUGCCGGGUUUUGAAAUUGUGGGUAAAGAAAGAGAUGAGUCUUUGGGUGGUGCAAAAAGUAGAAGAGAAGAGCGACCUGCGAGAAGUCUGUAGAAGAAGAAGAUGGUGAAGAAUCCGACCGGAGCUCAUUUUUCGUCCCUUUUUUUUUUUUUUUUUAAUUUUCCCUCUCGCAAUGCUUUGC